UACGGAGGGGGCUAGCGUUGUUCGGAAUUACUGGGCGUAAAGCGCGCGUAGGCGGCUUUGUAAGUUAGAGGUGAAAGCCCGGAGCUCAACUCCGGAACUGCCUUUAAGACUGCAUCGCUAGAACGUCGGAGAGGUAAGUGGAAUUCCGAGUGUAGAGGUGAAAUUCGUAGAUAUUCGGAAGAACAUCAGUGGCGAAGGCGACUUACUGGACGACUGUUGACGCUGAGGUGCGAAAGCGUGGGGAGCAAACAGG
rnacentral:rRNA from 1 species